AUUGAACGCUGGCGGCAUGCUUUACGCAUGCAAGUCGAACGGUAACAGGCCGCAAGGUGCUGACGAGUGGCGAACGGGUGAGUAAUGCAUCGGAACGUGCCCAGUCGUGGGGGAUAACGCAGCGAAAGCUGUGAUAAUAACGCAAACGACCUAUGGAUGAAAGCGGGGGACCGUAAGGCCUCGCGCGAUUGGAGCGGCCGAUGUCAGAGUAGGUAGUUGGUGGGGUAAAGGACUACCAAGCCGACGAUCUGUAGCUGGUCUGAGAGGACGACCAGCCACACUGGAACUGAGACACGGCCCAGACGCCUACGGGAGGCAGCAGUGGGGAAUUUUGGACAAUGGGCGCAAGCCUGAUCCAGCAAUGCCGCGUGCAGGAAGAAGGCCUUCGGGUUGUAAACUGCUUUUGUACGGAACGAAACGGUCUGGGUUAAUACCCUGGGCUAAUGACGGUACCGUAAGAAUAAGCACCGGCUAACUACGUGCCAGCCGCCGCCGUAAAAC
rnacentral:rRNA from 1 species